UACGUAGGGGGCGAGCGUUGUCCGGAGUUACUGGGCGUAAAGGGCACGCAGGCGGUCGGCUAGGUGGCUGCUGACAGCGCUCGGCUUCACUGAGCGAGGGGCAGCCAAACGGGCCGACUGGAGGCACGGAGAGGGAGACGGAAUUCCGGGUGGAGUGGUGAAAUGCGUAGAGAUCCGGAAGAACACCAAAGGCGAAGGCAGUCUCCUGGCCGUGACCUGACGCUGAGGUGCGAAAGCUAGGGGAGCGAACAGG
rnacentral:rRNA from 1 species